rnacentral:misc_RNA from 1 species
AUAAGGGUGAGGUCGGCAGUUCGAGUCUACUCAGACCAACCAAAUUAAGCCUUAUACGGCGUUGCUUACAAACUCGUGUACAACAGUACACGUCGUUUAUAAGCGCCUUGUCUAAGACUUAAUUACCAAGUUUUAUAUUUGGGGUUAUAGCUCAGCUGGGAGAGCGCCUGCCUUGCACGCAGGAGGUCAACGGUUCGAUCCCGUUUAACUCCACCAUUCCUUACGAAUGAAACGAUUGAUUGCUCAACAAAUUCAAAUCAAAGCGCACUUGUUUGUGUGGUUUGAUUUGAGUUUAUCUCAAAAUGCUCUUUAACAAUUAGGCAAGCUGAUAGUAGUAAAAAAUAAAGGUCAACAAUUUUAUUGUGAACCUUAAGCACAAAGCUUACAACAUCAAAGACAAUUUGGGGUUGUAUGGUUAAGUGACUAAGCGUACACGGUGGAUGCCUUGGCAGUCAAAGGCGAUGAAAGACGAG